CUCGUCCGAGCCCACCCGCCUUUGGAGGAAAGAGCCAGACUUCUCAGAGGUCAGUCUGUUCAACAAGUGGGACCCCAGGGCCUUCUGUAUGUUCAGCAAAGAGAGCUUGCAGUGACCUCCCCAAAGGAUGGCUCCAUCUCCAUUCUGGGUUCUGAUGAUGCCACUACUUGUCACAUUGUGGUCCUGAGGCACACAGGUAAUGGGGCCACCUGCUUGACACAUUGUGACGGAACCGACACCAAAGCUGAGGUCCCCUUGAUCAUGAACUCCAUAAAAUCCUUUUCUGACCACGCUCAAUGUGGAAGGUGAGAUCUACGCUGCUCUCAUAGGCUGGAAGUACACCUUGUUGGAGGCUUCAGUGACGACAGGCAGUUGUCACAAAAACUCACUCAUCAACUUCUUAGUGAAUUUGACAGGCAAGAAGAUGACAUUCACUUAGUGACAUUAUGUGUGACAGAAUUAAAUGACCGGGAAGAAAACGAAAACCACUUUCCAGUAAUAUAUGGCAUUGCUGUCAACAUUAAGACUGCAGAGAUUUACAGAGCAUCCUUUCAAGAUCGGGGUCCGGAGGAGCAGCUUCGUGCUGCGCGAACUUUAGCAGGAGGACCAAUGAUUAGCAUUUAUGAUGCAGAGACAGAACAACUUCGUAUAGGACCGUACUCCUGGACACCAUUUCCACAUGUGGAUUU
rnacentral:lncRNA from 1 species